rnacentral:lncRNA from 10 species
AGAAACUCUACUUUGUGGACUGAAGACAAGCAACAUGAAUUUCUGAAACUUCUUUUACAGAAAUAUGAGAAUCGGAUGCAUAAUGCAAUUUUCAGAGGCAUCAUGGGGAUUCGUGAAAGUCCUUGGAAGAUUUGAGAUUCAGGAACUCAAUGAAUAAAUUUAACUAUCCAUAAGUGUGGAUUUUACACAAGACUUUGAGCAUCAUGAAGACAGGAACCAUAUGCUAUUCAUCGUCAUACCCUCAGCUCCUUGGCAAGGUAUCUGGAACACAGAGAGAACUCUAUAAAGAUUUGUCAAGCUGUACUGAACAACCCCAAGCGGAUGCAGAUUGGGUCACACCAAAUGUGACUGCUGAUUCAUGUGGUCAUUUGGCAAAUAUUGAUUGAGUGCCUAUGAUGUGCCAAGCACUAUUCUUAGCCAACGCUAAGCCAAAUACACAAAAAUAAUGAUAAAGUGAGUGCUUGUCAAUUAGGUACAACCCAGGUAUUUUACCAGGCUAGUUAAUUGGUGUGUUGAGUCAAUAUGAAGACUGUUUUAAACUUCAGCUUUUGCUAUAAUAUUAUUUAAGCCUAGACAGGAAAUUCAGGGUUCCAAUAACUCAAUGCUCUCUCUUUCCUGGGCUUCAGUGUCCACACCUACAUGAUGCACAUAUACUGUAGUCUCCCAUGAGAUAUUUUGACAUAUGUUUAUACAGGAUCCUCUGAAAUUCCUUGCACAUUUUUAAAUCUUAACAAUUUGCCUAGAAACACUUUACAAAUUGCAUUAAGUAUUUCAAGGCUUAGAAAACACUAUUGCACAAAAUGCCUUUGUAUUUAAGAUCUCAUGAUAAAGUCCAUGUAUUUAUCUCAUGAUAAAUAAAGUCCAAUCAGCUUUCGAUUCAGUUGAAAUUCAAUGUGCCUUUAAAAGCCAUGUAUUGAUUUAUUUGAUCAUACCCAUGACCUAUGUUACAUUUAAGAAACUUUUAUUGAGCCCUUUUAUUGUAUCAUGCAUUGUAGU